ACUGCUCAGUAACACGUGGACAACCUGCCCAAAGGUCCGGGAUAACCCCGGGAAACUGGGGAUAAUACCGGAUAAAUCACAAAUACUGGAAUGGUUUUGUGGUUGAAACUUCCGGGGCCUUUGGAUGGGUCUGCGGCUGAUUAGGUUGUUGCCGGUGUAACGUACCGUCAAGCCUGUAAUCAGUACGGGUUGUGGGAGCAAGAGCCCGGAGAUGGAUUCUGAGACACGAAUCCAGGCCCUACGGGGCGCAGCAGGCGCGAAAACUCUACAAUGCAGGCAACUGCGAUAGGGGAACAUCGAGUGAUACUCAUCUUGGGUGUCUGUCCUCCCGUCUAAAAAACGGGAGUUAGCAAGGGCCGGGCAAGACCGGUGCCAGCCGCCGCGGUAAUACCGGCGGCUCGAGUGGUGGCCGAUAUUAUUGAGUCUAAAGGGUCCGUAGCCGGCUUUGCAAGUCUUUUGGGAAAUCCAGCGGCUUAACCGUUGGUCGUCCGGGAGAUACUACAUUGCUUGGGACUGGGAGAGGUAGGAGGUACUCAGGGGGUAGGAGUGAAAUCCUGUAAUCCUUUGGGGACCACCGGUGGCGAAGGCGUCCUACCAGAACAGGUCCGACGGUGAGGGACGAAAGCUAGGGGCACGAACCGGAUUAGAUACCCGGGUAGUCCUAGCCGUAAACGAUGCUCGCUAGGUGUCACAACAAUCGUGAAUUGUUGUGGUGCCGUAGGGAAGCCGUGAAGCGAGCCACUUGGGAAGUACGACCGCAAGGUUGAAACUUAAAGGAAUUGGCGGGGGAGCAC
rnacentral:rRNA from 1 species